rnacentral:tRNA from 1 species
AGAGGGAAGUAUUUAGGGUGUACGCGGAGUUUUGAUCUCCUAGGUGUGGGUUCGAUUCCCCCCCUUCUAA